UACGAAGGGGGCUAGCGUUGUUCGGAAUUACUGGGCGUAAAGCGCGUGUAGGCGGGUCUUUAAGUCAGGGGUGAAAUGCCAAGGCUCAACCUUGGAACUGCCUUUGAUACUGGAGAUCUUGAGUCCGGGAGAGGUGAGUGGAGUUGCGAGUGUAGAGGUGAAAUUCGUAGAUAUUCGCAAGAACACCAGUGGCGAAGGCGGCUCACUGGCCCGGAACUGACGCUGAGACGCGAAAGCGUGGGGAGCAAACAGG
rnacentral:rRNA from 1 species